rnacentral:rRNA from 1 species
CGGCGGACGGGUGAGUAAUGUAUGGGGAUCUGCCCGAUGGAGGGGGAUAACUACUGGAAACGGUAGCUAAUACCGCAUAAUGUCUACGGACCAAAGUGGGGGACCUUCGGGCCUCUUGCCAUCGGAUGUGCCCAGAUGGGAUUAGCUAGUAGGUGGGGUAACGGCUCACCUAGGCGACGAUCCCUAGCUGGUCUGAGAGGAUGACCAGCCACACUGGAACUGAGACACGGUCCAG